GCAAGUCGAGCGAAGACUUCGGUCUUAGCGGCGGACGGGUUAGUAACGCGUGGGAACGUGCCAUUCUCUACGGAAUAGUCCCGGGAAACUGGGUUUAAUACCGUAUACGCCCUUCGGGGGAAAGAUUUAUCGGAGAAUGAUCGGCCCGCGUUGGAUUAGGUAGUUGGUGGGGUAAUGGCCUACCAAGCCUACGAUCCAUAGCUGGUUUGAGAGGAUGAUC
rnacentral:rRNA from 1 species